AUUGAACGCUGGCGGCAGGCUUAACACAUGCAAGUCGAGCGGUAGCACAGGGGAGCUUGCUCCCUGGGUGACGAGCGGCGGACGGGUGAGUAAUGUCUGGGAAACUGCCUGAUGGAGGGGGAUAACUACUGGAAACGGUAGCUAAUACCGCAUAGCGUCGCAAGACCAAAGAGGGGGACCUUCGGGCCUCUUGCCAUCAGAUGUGCCCAGAUGGGAUUAGCUAGUAGGUGGGGUAAUGGCUCACCUAGGCGACGAUCCCUAGCUGGUCUGAGAGGAUGACCAGCCACACUGGAACUGAGACACGGUCCAGACUCCUACGGGAGGCAGCAGUGGGGAAUAUUGCACAAUGGGCGCAAGCCUGAUGCAGCCAUGCCGCGUGUGUGAAGAAGGCCUUCGGGUUGUAAAGCACUUUCAGCGAGGAGGAAGGUGGUGAGCUUAAUACGUUCAUCAAUUGACGUUACUCGCAGAAGAAGCACCGGCUAACUCCGUG
rnacentral:rRNA from 1 species